AUUGAACGCUGGCGGCAUGCCUUACACAUGCAAGUCGAACGGCAGCGGGGGAGAAGCUUGCUUUUCCUGCCGGCGAGUGGCGAACGGGUGAGUAAUACAUCGGAACGUGCCCUGUAGUGGGGGAUAACUAGUCGAAAGAUUAGCUAAUACCGCAUACGACCUGAGGGUGAAAGUGGGGGACCGCAAGGCCUCAUGCUAUAGGAGCGGCCGAUGUCUGAUUAGCUAGUUGGUGGGGUAAAGGCCUACCAUGGUGACGAUCAGUAGCUGGUCUGAGAGGACGAUCAGCCACACUGGGACUGAGACACGGCCCAGACUCCUACGGGAGGCAGCAGUGGGGAAUUUUGGACAAUGGGCGAAAGCCUGAUCCAGCAAUGCCGCGUGUGUGAAGAAGGCCUUCGGGUUGUAAAGCACUUUUGCCCGGAAAGAAAUGGCUCCGGUUAAUACCUGGGGUCGAUGACGGUACCGGAAGAAUAAGGACCGGCUAACUACGUGCCAGCAGCCGCCGUAAGAC
rnacentral:rRNA from 1 species